GAUCGUCAACAUGCUAGCUUCGUAUCAACGGCAUUUUAGACAUUCACCAUAUGGCUAUUGUAGGUUUGCCUUACUUGUUAAUUGCAGCUUUACUCCAGGUGGCUUUUGCUCCAUAUCGACAGCGUAGAUCUAGAAAUUUGCCUUGGUUUUUUUCACCUCUUCUUUUGAUCGGAUAUCUCUGUCAAUUUGUAAAAAAAAAAAAUCUACAAUACCAUAAGCUUUGAGAAAUUUGAACCACUUGAAGUCGAGGUAGGAAUUUUUGGUCUGUUGUCAGCUUCAUUGGGAAGCGUUUUGGCAUUGUCUUUAUCAGUUGAUUUGCUCUGACCCGAACCACUUGAACCAUCGUUUGACGCAGACAUGUUGAAAUCACUGGUUAUCGAUUGGAAUUAGUCGAAUUUCAGAUUACAAAAGAAAAUUGCACAUGCAAACGCUUUAAUUUACAGUUAUUUUUCCCGUCAUUGAUGAAGAAUGGAGUAUUAAUUUUUGGGUAUUUCCAGAAAGAGUAAUCACAUUCACUUUGACUAAUAUUUCUUUAAUUUCUAUGAUGAAAGAGCUCCCAGUUUUCAUCGUAAAGAGUUCAAAGCCUCCCAUCUUUUAAUUUUUUUGCUAAUUCUUCUCUCUACAAUGCUAUUUCUUCAGCUAUUAUUUUAGAGGGGUUUGUUUUUGUUUUGGGGUUAGAUAGUAUUCUGUUUCUUGACAACUGAAAAUUCCUACUUGCAGAUGAAAAAUCUCUACUAAAUGGCAACAUAAUCUUAACCAUCUCAAAGCUAUCUAAAUACCUUCAUUCAGAUUAGAAACUUAAUACAAUGUAGUCAAAUUUGAUGCAAGAAAACUCACUCGAGGGUCGAUAUUUUGUGCAUAAAAUUGAGAGAAUAGGAUAGGAAGAUAUGUUCUAGAUUUAGUGAAUUAGUCUUGACACUAACAUCUUCCUCCUGAUAGAAGAGGAGCAAAGGUAAGUGAUAUUAUGAACUCGAUACUAAGAAGUGAAUGAUGGCAUAUCUUUGGCAUCUAUUUCUUAAAUUACUGAUUGUGGAAUACAUGUCAGCUUUUGGUCUUGCAAUCUUGGCCACACAAGCCUGAAGUUUGAAUUCCAAGUUCAAACUGAGGACAAACAGACUUGAAAUUUUGACUCAACAAUUCAACAUGCCUUAAGGUUCAAUUACACAUUUUAAACUUUAGGAUAUAUAUCCUGCUUAUUGUAGGUAUUUGAAGUUCAAUUCUGUGUCAAAAAUGACUUAAAAUUCUGUGAUAUAUAAUUAUGACGUAAGGACAAAAUCUCUUAAUCUUGAUAACUAUUUAAUUAUCUUCGAAGCAGCAAUAGAAAGGAAUAUAAGAAUAUAACAUUGGUUUGUGAAUUGUGACAGAUUGAUAGAUUAUAUUGUGACAGAAAGGAGUAUAUUGCAUAUUUACAUGGCUUGAAGGUGCUGUAGUGAUGUUUCCCCAAUAAAGUGUUUCAUCUUUCUUCUGAUUCCAACAUCUGCGUUCUGUCAGCAAUCAGUUUUCCAGGGAACCCGCAACCGCUACCCUUCGAGUGCACCCACGGCCUCCUGUUCUUUCUUCCCAAUCCCUUACAGCAAGUCUCCGAUUUUUCAGAUGAUGUAUAUGUAAAAAGUAAUCUGCAUGCGUCCUUUAUUUACUUCGUUGCCAGUUUCAAUACAUGGAGUUUUCAGUUCUGCAACGGAGAAGAAUCACACGACUGCAUUGCAGGAAUAAAGUUCACCUAGAGGAUAUGACCAUCAAGCUAAUCAGUGCAAGGAGCAGGAUGAGCUAAUUGCUGCGGAACAAUGACCACGUUAUGCAAGGGUAGAGAUUAACCAGGCUGUAUCAGGUGAGAGAAGUCGCCAACAUACAUUCAAGUAUGUAGCACUCUCUAUUCUGGACAUUCUUAGCCUUGAGGUAAUCUUUCACAACAUAAACUCUGCAACUUGAAAGGUCUUACCAAGGCAAUAAGGACAUUAAAACAGUCACCAAGAUACUGCUCUUAAAAGGGUGCAAAGGAUGUUCCAACUGGAAAUUUUGAGAACAAGGAGUUGAAAAGAAAAAUAAUAUUAGAAAUUACGUGUGUAGAAAGCAGUUAACUCUUGAAGUUAGGACAUUGUCCUGAAGUUGUGGUUGGGUAUGAAAGACGCGCUCAGUUCUUCUCUAAUUUUUUUCCUGAGUCGCCGAGUGCUUGAACAUAUAGUAUCAUUUUCCCAUUGGUUUUGUUUAAAGGGUUUGAGAUUCUUUUCUUGCAGGAUAAAUGGUUAGAUUUGCUUGCAGGUACGUGAAUUUUCGCUGUUGUAAGUGGAAUAACGAAACUGAAAUAGCGUCAAAUAAGUUCUAAAGUAGGUGCUAUAACAUAUUGAUAUUUGGUUUGUAGGGCAGAUGGUAAUUGUUUGGGCCAGUAGGUGGUCUUGGUAUGAGGAGGCAAUUGAUAUGAUGUGUGAAUUUGUAGUUUGAGAAUUAUUUCAGAUAUUGCGACCAGUGGCGUAUGUAGCGUUCGAGGUGGGGGUUCAAUUGAACCCCUAACUUUCAACGGGGAGCAUAGAUUUGUGUGUAAAAAUUUAUUAAAAUUACAAUAAAUAGUAGACAUAAACCCAUAACUUUUAAAAUACCAACUAAGAAUACUGAAAGACUGAACCCAUAAAGUUUAAAUCUUGAAUCCGCCUCUAAUUACGACUUAUUAUCAAUUACACAUACAGCUGCCCUCUACUAAAUAGUUCAACUAUAUGUGAUAUAUAAGAAGCUACAUAAAAGACCAUCAAUUCUUGGCAACUUCCUGAUAACUGGUUCUAGAACAUUGUUACUGCUUUGUUUUGCAGUAACCAAUAAACAUGUGGUAGGAUUUGAACUUUGGAGUUGACCUUUUGGCCAGUUGUGUUGUUGUAUGGUAACUUUGUGAAAACUAGAGUAGUACUAACUGUACUGUAGAUGAAACAAGGAGGUAAGAUCAUCUUCAAAGUCAAUGUUAGCUUUAGUGGUCAUGAGUUCUUGACUGAACUAAUCAAACAAUGUACACUUUUCUAUUGUUUUUAUCCUUGAAUAUUUUAUUUGCUUUUAUAUUUAUGCAGCUUUGACAGUAAAGUUUCAUUUUAAUUUUUCAACGGUUAAAUUUAUAUCCUAUUUAUGAAUAUUAGAAUUCUUUCCCCUCCGCGAAGAGCAUUUUUUCAUUUCUAUGUUUUUCUUCAUCCUCCUCCCAGGUUAUUAUGCAGAAUCUCUAUAGAUUAUAGCACUCGAAACUUAAAAUAUGAGUUAUUGUUGUUUAUUUAUAUAAUAUGACAUCUGUUUGUGUCAUUUCGUUAUCAUGAAUUCUUGAUUGUGCUAAUUGAUUCUGCAGUUGAUUGAUCUGGUUGUAAUUAUAUCGACUUUGUGGUGUUUUCUGGAUGAUGAUUAAAGAAGAAAGAGAGCAAAAAAAGAGCCACGAGAAAAGAACCAUGAACACUUUGAAAGUUAUGCUAUGGAAUAAGCAGAAGAACGACAAAGAGUACUGCAAUGAACAAUCUGAAAACAGUAGUGGAUAAACACUUCAUUGACAGGCGAGUGAGACACAAAAUGAGGAAUGCCAGAAUAGUGGUGAUAUGCAUUCUUCUACUGAUAGGAUAAGAGAGCAAAGGCACAAGAGAAUACUGGGAAACAAGAUAUGUUGCUCCCGACUAGCCUCAAUACUGCUAACGGACAAAAUAAAGGUGGCAUGAUUAUGGUAGACUUGGGUUCCAUAUAAGUUAUACUUAACACCGGACUGAACCAAAGGCAUGACCCUGACAUCCAAAAUGUCAUUGAACAACUGGUGGAGGAGAGUGAUGAGGUCAGUGUUUCAAUGGAGCAUAUUACAUAUACAGAUGAAGAUGAAAAGGUAGCAGACAGUGUGGUAUAAACAUUUGCACUCACCUCCAUUGAAGAUGAUUUAAGGUGCAGUUCGGUUCAUUGAAGUCUAUUUUUAUCAUCACCUAUUGGGGGAUAAGAAUUUUGGAUGUUUAAAAUACAGGAAUAACCACUGUCUAAUCCCUUACAUGAUUUGGGACAUCAUGUUAUUCGAAAACAUCAAAGUAAAUCCAAAAUGAACUUACCAUAUGAUAUCUUUUGCGGCAACGCUACAUUUGCUAAAAUAAAUCGAGAAGAGACAUGCUUGUGAUAAUAGUUUGGUAUAAACAUUUGCACUCACCUCCAUUGAAGAUGA